GUGGUACAAACUGUUAAUACACUUGGCUUCUAACCAAAAGGUUAGUGGUUUGAGUCCAUUC
rnacentral:tRNA from 1 species